rnacentral:lncRNA from 1 species
AUGUGGUGGGAGGUGGUGAGCAUCUUGGCAUGUUUGCAACUGUUGGCUGGUGUUUGCCAUGCAGUGACUGUGACACAAAAAGAACGGUACAAAAUCAUCCAGGUGGGAAUCCAGACAAGUAUUGACUGCAAUCACAAUGACAACACCUACUUGACUAUCCUUUGGUAUCGACAGGACAGCAACAGCGCAGACAGGACACUGCAGCUAGUUGGCUACUCUGUCCAUGGGAAUGACCCAGAGAUGACUAUGACCACCUACACCAUACAUGCAUCCCUUUCUGUCCCCGCAAGACAGGCUGCAGACUCAGCAGUGUAUUUCUGUGCAGUUGGAAAGGCACAGCGAGCACUUCUUGCCUCACAGCUGCACAUGAACGUUGGAGUAGCCCCGCCUCCACCCAUCUGAGCCACAACUGCAUAAAACCCAACCAUGUCCUGGAUAAUAUUUCCAAAGACGGUGGGAAACACAGCAGCUGCAGCUGCUCCUGUCUUAUCAUAAUAUUCGCCAGUCGGAUUCUGGGUUAAAUAAAUCAUGAUGCUUAAACUUUCUGCUUAAUAGCCAAAACAACGUUCAGUUUUUGUGACAUUCAAGUACAGUCCAAGCUGCCAAGGCUAACAUGUUCCACAUACGUGGCUUCCAAAAUCCAGACAGCCUGACCUGCACAUUAAACAAAAUGCGCUCAAGCAUAAAAUCAAAAACAUUAAUGAAUUUUGUGUACUUUUGCUCUGUGCAUGGUUUCAUAAAAAAAAAACCCUCGCAGAAAAUCUAGGAGAAAUGAGUUAAUUCUUUUUAGAUCUGGAGGUUUGGGAAUUUGUGACCCUCAAGCUAUAGUUCAACUGCAGCUCCCAUGUCUCAUCAACAGAGGAAAUUGCAAGGUGGGCAGCUGUAGUCAGAAAAAAAUACCAACAAGGCCACUACUGAGUCAAAUAAUAAAGGUAAAGAUUUUCCUCGGCAUUAAGUUUAGUUGUGUGUCCAACUCUUGGGGUUGGUGCUCAUCUCCAUUUCUAAGCUGAAGAGCCGGCGUUGUCCGUAGACAUCUUCAAGGUCAUGUGGCCGGCAUGACUGCAUAGAAUGCUGUUACCUUCCUGCUGGAGCGGUACCUAUUGAUUUACUCAUAUUUGCAUGUUUUUGAACUGCUAGGUUGGCAGAAGCUGGGGCUAACAGCGAGAGCUCACCCCGCUCCCCGGAUUCGAACCACCAACCUUUUGGUCAGCAAGUUCAGCAGCUCAGUGGUUUAACCUGCUGUGUCAUCAGGGGAUCCGAGUCAAAUAAUACACAUAUAAUAAUCAAAGCCUUAGAAUUGUAAGUAUGGUACUACUUCAAUGAAAACUACACAAUACAAGUGCCAUGCAUAUACAGUGCUUCCUCUCUCUGUCAGCAAUGGGUUUGGAAUUCUUUCACCAAAUUUCUAACACCAGAGCAGAUUCUGAAACAUUAAUUUUGGAAUGUAACACCCAGAAUCCACCAGUCAUUUGAUCACUGACCUUAACUGCGCCUUCACGCAGAUCUAUGUCUUGUUCAGACAUGCAAGCAAGUGUAUUGUACUUCUUAUUGUAUAAAGCAUGACACAAUCAAAUUGGAAGUUCCAACUGGGCACGGAUCAUAUUUUUCAUAAACUGCAUCACAGGAAGACUCAGAAAGGAA